GCAGCAGCAGACUCCGCCCGCAGCAGCCGCAUCAUCAUGGCCGCAGCUCCCCCACCCUCAGCAACACACAUACACAUACAGCACAACACAGGAUGUGUAUGACGUGACACUGCACCUCCACGUACAGGGAGCAGACACCGUUUUGCAUGUAAAAUGAAUUUGACUGUGAGGUAGAAAAAAAGGAAGCAGCAGUGACUACAUGAAGGAGUCCCCCGGAGCCUGGCUGGUGCUUUAACACUCCCAGAGGAAGCACAGCAGAGACGUCACUGCGUUUCGUCUGUUGACUCAUCCCUCCACUCCCAGGGCAGGAUGACCUCCCACAUACUCAGCUCGCACUGAAUGAGCUGCCUCCUUGGGUUGAAUCAAAGGCAAGAUGGUGUGUGUUUCUCCAAAAUAAAGGCUCACGCUGACCAGA